AACUCAAAGGAAAUGACGGGGACCCGCACAAGCGGUGGAUGAUGUGGUUUAAUUCGAUGCAACGCGAAAAACCUUACCUACCCUUGACAUGUCAAGAAUUCUGCAGAGAUGUGGAAGUGCUCGAAAGAGAACUUGAACACAGGUGCUGCAUGGCAGUCGUCAGCUCGUGUCGUGAGAUGUUGGGUUAAGUCCCGCAACGAGCGCAACCCUUGUCAUUAGUUGCUACGCAAGAGCACUCUAAUGAGACUGCCGGUGACAAACCGGAGGAAGGUGGGGAUGACGUCAAGUCCUCAUGGCCCUUAUAGGUGGGGCUACACACGUCAUACAAUGGCUGGUACAAAGGGUUGCCAACCCGCGAGGGGGAGCUAAUCCCAUAAAACCAGUCGUAGUCCGGAUCGCAGUCUGCAACUCGACUGCGUGAAGUCGGAAUCGCUAGUAAUCGCGGAUCAGCUUGCCGCGGUGAAUACGUUCCCGGGUCUUGUACACACCGCCCGUCACACCAUGGGAGCGGGUUCUGCCAGAAGUAGUUAGCCUAACCGCAAGGAGGGCGAUUACCACGGCAGGGUUCGUGACUGGGGUGAAGUCGUAACAAGGUAACCA
rnacentral:rRNA from 1 species